rnacentral:tRNA from 1 species
GAGGCUGUAGCGCAGAGGUCGACGCACCCGGUCGUCGUCCGGGGGGACGCCGGUUCGAUUCCGGUCGGUCUCGCCC